rnacentral:rRNA from 1 species
GAUGAACGCUGGCGGCGUGCCUAAUACAUGCAAGUCGAGCGAACAGACGAGGAGCUUGCUCCUCUGACGUUAGCGGCGGACGGGUGAGUAACACGUGGAUAACCUACCUAUAAGACUGGGAUAACUUCGGGAAACCGGAGCUAAUACCGGAUAAUAUAUUGAACCGCAUGGUUCAAUAGUGAAAGACGGUUUUGCUGUCACUUAUAGAUGGAUCCGCGCCGCAUUAGCUAGUUGGUAAGGUAACGGCUUACCAAGGCAACGAUGCGUAGCCGACCGGAGAGGGUGAUCGGCCACACUGGAACUGAGACACGGUCCAGACUCCUACGGGAGGCAGCAGUAGGGAAUCUUCCGCAAUGGGCGAAAGCUUGACGGAGCAACGCCGCGUGAGUGAUGAAGGUCUUCGGAUCGUAAAACUCUGUUAUUAGGGAAGAACAAAUGUGUAAGUAACUAUGCACGUCUUGACGGUACCUAAUCAGAAAGCCACGGCUAGCUACGUG